ACAAUGUAAACAAUGUAGACAGUAGUUGACUAUCACUUUUAACAAGAGGACUGUAGAAUGCAAGUGAACUUACGUCAAUUGCAUACUCUUGUCUAUGCUACCCAAUUUUUUCAACAAAAGUCAGGUUUCGUCGACAAAACAGUAGAGGUGUACACGUGACAAUGCUCCUUCUGCUGACAAAACUCUCCUGCUUUGCUGACAAAAUAAAACCACCUUGAUGAGCCGCGUAGGUUUUUUUGAGGCGAAGUGUCAAGUGUAGACACCAUGCUUGGUUAUGUCACUGUAAAUGGCCUCCAGGAGGUGUCCCACAGUGCCCAUCCUGACCGCUCUGAUCAGCAGUUUGAACUUUGCUACCUUGCACCCAGGUACACAAGUUUCCACCCGUCCCUCUUUAAAGGCCUGGGAAUGUUUGAAAUUCCACCUUCUGUUUUCUCGGUAUGGAGAGCUCACAUCGCAUCUUCCCAGCUGACUGUGGCGGCUCCUCGCAGCAACUCCUCCCCCCCGCUUCGAGCACACCCGAGUUGUUGGAUCUGCUGUCACUGUGGGGAGAGGAGGCUGUGCAAUCCCAGCUCUGCUCCAGUCGUAGGAACUUAGAUACCUACAGGCAGAUUUCUCAUGGCUUGUUGGAUAAGGGCUAGAAGUGGGACAUGCAGCACUGCCGUGCGAAGAUAAAGGAGUUGAGGCAGGCAUGCCAGAAGGCAAGGGAGGCAAAUGGUCUGUCUGGUGCUGCGCUGAAGACCUGCUGCUUCUAUAAGGAGCUGGACGUCAACCGUGUUGGUGACUUCCACCUCUCAGAGCCCCGUGGAUACUUUGGCAGGGCUGGAGGCAGCGAAUAGUGGACCUAACCCCAAGGACGAAGUCAUGGACAAGGAGGCCAAGUUGGAGGACAGCGUGGCACACAAGGCAGGGUUGUCCAGUGGCGUGGCGAGUCAGGACCUCUUUUCCACUCUGGAUCUCUAGCCAGUCCCUGAAGUCUAUCUGUGGCGUGCAAGAUGCAGGAGAGAAGAGCCCUGAUGUGGCCUUCAAGGGAACUUCCUACGCACCUGCAGAGUGCCUCUGCCAGAUAAGGAAGCAACCAAGGCAGAGCAAGGAGCGGUAGUACCGGGAGGUACUCCAGUCCUCAGAGGCCGAAUAAAGAGAAUGCAAGUUGUGGAGAGAGACCCUGAAGGAAAAAAAUUUAAAAAAAAGGCAGGACAGAAAGGAGAGUGAGGAGCACAUUGUAAAGAGCCAAGAGUGGAUGAUAAAAGUGAUGGAGGAGCAAACAGAGAUGUUGAAAUCCCUAAUCAUGCUCCAGUCAGAACACAUGCAUGCUCACCCCCCUCUGCAGCCAAUACAGAACUGCUUUCAGUACCCUCCCCAAACUCUUCCCACACGUUCCUUGUAACUUCCCAGAACAUUUCGGUACCUUGUUCACUCCAUCCCGUCAGAUGGCUUCCAAAAUGAUAGCUGGACUUACGCAUGGCUAGGAGAGCCUACACUGCCUUGCACUCUUAUCUCCCCUCCCACCAAGCUUUUUGUAUGUGUGUUGCUAAUUGGUAUUAAAUAAAAAUGAACUCUCUGAAAGAUA